GAGUUUGAUCCUGGCUCAGAACGAACGCUGGCGGCAUGCCUAACACAUGCAAGUCGAACGAGACCUUCGGGUCUAGUGGCGCACGGGUGCGUAACGCGUGGGAAUCUGCCCUUGGGUUCGGAAUAACUCAGAGAAAUUUGAGCUAAUACCGGAUGAUGUCGUAAGACCAAAGAUUUAUCGCCCAGGGAUGAGCCCGCGUAGGAUUAGCUAGUUGGUGAGGUAAAAGCUCACCAAGGCGACGAUCCUUAGCUGGUCUGAGAGGAUGAUCAGCCACACUGGGACUGAGACACGGCCCAGACUCCUACGGGAGGCAGCAGUGGGGAAUAUUGGACAAUGGGCGAAAGCCUGAUCCAGCAAUGCCGCGUGAGUGAUGAAGGCCCUAGGGUUGUAAAGCUCUUUUACCGGGAUGAUAAUGACAGUACCGGGAGAAUAAGCUCCGGCUAACUCCGUGCCAGCAGCCGCAGU
rnacentral:rRNA from 1 species